rnacentral:rRNA from 1 species
UACGUAGGCAGCGAGCGUUUGUUCGGAAUUACUGGGCGUAAAGAGUGUGUAGGCGGUGCUCUAAGUUCGGUGUGAAAUCUCCUGGCUCAACUGGGAGGGUGCGCCGGAAACUGGAGUGCUUGAGCGUGGGAGAGGAAAGCGGAAUUCCUGGUGUAGCGGUGGAAAUGCGUAGAUAUCAGGAGGAACACCUGUGGUGUAGACGGCUUUCUGGACCAUAGCUGACGCUGAGACACGAAAGCGUGGGUAGCAAACAGG